AGCUUGCUCCCUGAUGUUAGCGGCGGACGGGUGAGUAACACGUGGGUAACCUGCCUGUAAGACUGGGAUAACUCCGGGAAACCGGGGCUAAUACCGGAUGCUUGUUUGAACCGCAUGGUUCAAACAUAAAAGGUGGCUUCGGCUACCACUUACAGAUGGACCCGCGGCGCAUUAGCUAGUUGGUGAGGUAAUGGCUCACCAAGGCAACGAUGCGUAGCCGACCUGAGAGGGUGAUCGGCCACACUGGGACUGAGACACGGCCCAGACUCCUACGGGAGGCAGCAGUAGGGAAUCUUCCGCAAUGGACGAAAGUCUGACGGAGCAACGCCGCGUGAGUGAUGAAGGUUUUCGGAUCGUAAAGCUCUGUUGUUAGGGAAGAACAAGUACCGUUCGAAUAGGGCGGUACCUUGACGGUACCUAACCAGAAAGCCACGGCUAACUACGUGCCAGCAGCCGCGGUAAUACGUAGGUGGCAAGCGUUGUCCGGAAUUAUUGGGCGUAAAGGGCUCGCAGGCGGUUUCUUAAGUCUGAUGUGAAAGCCCCCGGCUCAACCGGGGAGGGUCAUUGGAAACUGGGGAACUUGAGUGCAGAAGAGGAGAGUGGAAUUCCACGUGUAGCGG
rnacentral:rRNA from 2 species